rnacentral:rRNA from 1 species
AUGGUGGCUGUGGAUGCCUCCACAGGGGUGAUGAACGCCCUCCUGUGCAAGCUCUCCAAGCUGCUGGAGGACGAGUACUCCAGGCUCAAAGGCGUGCGCCGUCAGAUAACUUUCCUGAGGGACGAGCUGAGCAGCAUGAACGCCGUGCUGGAGACGCUCGCCGACGCGGAGCAGCUCGACCCUCUCAAGAGGGAAUGGCGGGACAAGGUGCGCGAGCUCUCCUACGACAUAGAGGAUUGCAUCGACGACUUCGUGGACCGCGGCGAGGAGCUGCGGACAGGCCUCAAGGGGUUCUUCAGCAAGCUGAGGAAGCUCAAGGCCCGCCGCGAGAUCGCCGGCGAGAUAGAGCAGCUCAAGAUCCGCACCAUCGAGGCGAGCGAGAGGCGCAGGAGGUAUGACUUUCUUGAGCCGGCCCAGAGUUCUCGCUUCUUCUGCGUCGACCCUCGGCUGCCGGCGCUGUACGAGGAUGCGGCUAGGCUUGUGGGCAUCGAUGGCCCCAAGGAGCAUAUCCUUGGCUGGUUCUGCAAGGAGAAGGAGCAUGAUGACCUCAGGGUGUUGCCGAUUGUGGGUUCCGGAGGCCUUGGCAAGACCACUCUUGCAAACCAAGUGUACUGUCAGUUAAAAGGCCAAUUUCAGUGCACAGCUUUUGUGUCGGUGUCUCGGAAUCCAAACAUGCAGAAGAUUUUACGGCAAAUGCUCACGGAGUUUGGGAUCAGCGGUGGUGCACUGGAUGAGGAACGGCAACUCAUCGACAGGAUAAGAGACCACCUCAAAGAUAAAAGGUAA